UAAGGUGGCUAUAGCAUAGGGGAUCACCUUUUACCAUUCCGAACAGAGAAGUUAAGCCCUAUAGCGCUGAUGGUACUGCCCUUCAUGGGUGGGAGAGUAGGUCGCUGCCUUUU
rnacentral:rRNA from 1 species